rnacentral:rRNA from 1 species
UACGGAGGAUCCAAGCGUUAUCCGGAUUUAUUGGGUUUAAAGGGUGCGCAGGCGGCGUGUCAAGUCAGCGGUAAAAUGUCGGGGCUCAACCCCGGCCGGCCGUUGAAACUGGCGUGCUCGAGUUGGAGAGAAGUAUGCGGAAUUCGUGGUGUAGCGGUGAAAUGCAUAGAUAUCACGAAGAACCCCGAUUGCGAAGGCAGCAUACCGGCUCCACACUGACGCUGAGGCACGAAAGCGUGGGUAUCGAACAGG